UACGUAGGGGGCAAGCGUUGUCCGGAAUUAUUGGGCGUAAAGAGCGUGUAGGCGGCUCGGUAAGUCCGCUGUGAAAGUCCAGGGCUCAACCCUGGAAUGCCGGUGGAAACUGUCGGGCUAGAGUCCGGAAGAGGCGAGUGGAAUUCCUGGUGUAGCGGUGGAAUGCGCAGAUAUCAGGAGGAACACCAAUAGCGAAGGCAGCUCGCUGGGACGGUACUGACGCUAAGGCGCGAAAGCGUGGGGAGCGAACAGG
rnacentral:rRNA from 1 species